UACAGAGGUCUCGAGCGUUAGGCGGAAUCACUGGGCUUAAAGCGUGUGUAGGUGGAUGCCUAAGUCCCUUGUGAAAUCCCACAGCUUAACUGUGGAACUGCUUGGUAUACUGGGUGUCUUGAGUCACUCAGGGGCGAGCGGAACAAAUGGUGGAGCGGUGAAAUGCGUAGAUAUCAUUUGGAACGCCAAUGGUGAAAACAGCUCGCUGGGGGUGCACUGACACUGAGACACGAAAGCCAGGGGAGCGAACGGG
rnacentral:rRNA from 1 species